AGCCUGAUGCAGCGACGCCGCGUGAGGGAUGACGGCCUUCGGGUUGUAAACCUCUUUCAGCAGGGAAGAAGCGAAAGUGACGGUACCUGCAGAAGAAGCGCCGGCUAACUACGUGCCAGCAGCCGCGGUAAUACGUAGGGCGCAAGCGUUGUCCGGAAUUAUUGGGCGUAAAGAGCUCGUAGGCGGCUUGUCGCGUCGGUUGUGAAAGCCCGGGGCUUAACCCCGGGUCUGCAGUCGAUACGGGCAGGCUAGAGUUCGGUAGGGGAGAUCGGAAUUCCUGGUGUAGCGGUGAAAUGCGCAGAUAUCAGGAGGAACACCGGUGGCGAAGGCGGAUCUCUGGGCCGAUACUGACGCUGAGGAGCGAAAGCGUGGGGAGCGAACAGGAUUAGAUACCCUGGUAGUCCACGCCGUAAACGGUGGGCACUAGGUGUGGGCGACAUUCCACGUCGUCCGUGCCGCAGCUAACGCAUUAAGUGCCCCGCCUGGGGAGUACGGCCGCAAGGCUAAAACUCAA
rnacentral:rRNA from 1 species